ensembl:lncRNA
AUCAUAACAUUACAUUACAAUACAACUUUUUUGAGACAGGAAAUGCAAAAUAAUUUGUUGUUUUAAAUUUAAAAAUUACAUUUACAGCAAUGGAACAAUCUGUAAUCUUCCAAUUAUAAUAGUUUAUUGUUCAUAAGUUUUUAAAAGAAGUCUCUUAUGCUCACCAAGGCUGCAUUUAUUUGAUCAAAAAUACAGCAAAAAAAUAGUGAAAUACAAUGUGAAAUACAAUGUGAUAUAUAUAUAUAUAUAUAUAUAUAUAUAUAUAUAUAUAUAUAUAUAUAUAUAUAUACAUACAUAUCUUCUUUAAAGAAUUCUUAAAAUGUAAUUAAUUCCUAUAUGAUGGCAAAGCUGAAUUUUCAGCAGCCAUUGUUCUAGUCUUUAGUGUCACAUGAUCCUUCAGAUAUUAUUUUAAUAUGCUUAUUUGGUGCUCACAAAACAUUUAUUAUUCUUAUUUAUCAAUGCUGAAAACAGUGCUGCCUUUUAUUUUUUUUUCAUAAUUCUGCGAUGAAGAGAAAGUUCACAAGAACAGUGAUUAUUUGAAAUAGAUUUUUUCUCUUUGUAGCGUGUCUUUACCAUUAAUUUUGAUCAACAUUAUGCAUCCUUCUUGCUAAAUGAAAGUAUUAAUUUCUUAAAACAAAAAGUUGUUGACCUCAAAUGGUAGUGUAUAUGACAAUGAAAUAAUACCAAUAUCAAUCUUUUGCAUUGAAUAUUAACUAAUUAUUCUAUAUUUUUUCUUCAUAAGCCAGGCCUUUAUCUGUUGUCUUUCUGUAUAUCAUCAUGACAAACCCAUCAUCUGGACCAGGAGGUGUGUGUAGGUUGCUGGCCUCUUUGCUUUAUGGGCUGGAGUCUCAUUUGGACACCUCAGAGGACAGCACUUUUCUUCAGGACAUGCUCAGGGGCAAUACUCUGCAUCUGCUUAUUAAGGUCAGACUUUUUAUUUUAGCAGCAUCCAGUAUAUGAGUGUUGUUAGCCCACUUUAGUGACUGCUGUUUGAAAUUAUUUAGAUCAAGUUGCUGGCUUGACCAUAAGAAGGUGCACCUGCACAUUUACACAUUCACUCACUCAUUCACUCACUGAUUCACUCAAUCAUUCAUUCAUUAAUUGACUCAUUCAUUCAUUUAUUCAGUGACUCACUGACUCGUUCAUUCAUUCAGUGACUCAUUCAGUGACUUAUUUAUUCAUGCAUUCAUUCAUUCAUUCAUUCAUU